UGGGGAAUAUUGGACAAUGGGGGGAACCCUGAUCCAGCCAUGCCGCGUGUGUGAAGAAGGCCUUAUGGUUGUAAAGCACUUUAAGCGAGGAGGAGGCUACUCUAGUUAAUACCUAGGGAUAGUGGACGUUACCCGCAGAAUAAGCACCGGCUAACUCUGUG
rnacentral:rRNA from 1 species